ACCAGGGGAACUAGGGGAACCAGGGCAACCAGGGGAACCAUAGGGAUCAUGGGAACCAGGGGAGUCAGGGAUACCAGAGGAACCAAGAGAACAAGGGGAACCAAAGGAACCUGUGGAACUAGGGGAACUAGAGGAACCCGUGGAACCAGGGGAACUAGGAGAACCAAGGGAACCAGGAACUAGAGGAACCAGGGGAAUCAGGGGAAUCAGGGGAACCAGGGAAACCAGAUGAACCAGUGGAACCAGGGGAACCUGGGGAACCAGGAGACCCAGGGGACCCAGAGGACCAGGGGAACCAGGGGAACACAGGAGUUCAUAGUAAUCCUUUUUCAAAAAACUAAACUAAAUGAUUUAUUUCGUCCCAUUUUUAGGCUCGAGAUUAAGUGUCACUGUGUCGGAUAUUCUCGGGUUUGACAUGAAUAAGCAUCCUGACUUAAAGUCCUUUCAAGUUUCUUUGCAGACUAAACUAAAACUUUCCAAGCAAGCUUUUGGCAAUGGAUUGAACGCUCAGCAAGUAGAAGAGAUUUCUUACUUUUAUAGGAGCCCUUGUUGAAGCCUUUACUGGUUCUCUGGCAAUACAUCCUGAAAACUACGGAAAAUCCCUGACAAAGGAUCUACCUCUAAUCUAGUUAAACUGCCAUGCCACGAUGGGAUCCUUGUGCGCAUCUAACCAACAUAAACCAUCUAGCUUUGUGUUUAGAAAUUUAUGUUUUUUGAUAGAAUGAUUAUAUGAAUAAACUUUUAAUUUUUA